rnacentral:rRNA from 1 species
UACGUAGGGUGCGAGCGUUAAUCGGAAUUACUGGGCGUAAAGCGUGCGCAGGCGGUGAUGUAAGACAGGUGUGAAAUCCCCGGGCUUAACCUGGGAACUGCAUUUGUGACUGCAUCGCUGGAGUGCGGCAGAGGGGAUGGAAUUCCGCGUGUAGCAGUGAAAUGCGUAGAUAUGCGGAGGAACACCGAUGGCGAAGGCAAUCCCCUGGGCCUGCACUGGACGCUUAUGCACGAAAGCGUGGGGAGCAAACAGG